rnacentral:rRNA from 1 species
UUCCAGACUCCUACGGGAGGCAGCAGUGGGGGAUAUUGCACAAUGGGGGGAACCCUGAUGCAGCGACGCCGCGUGGGUGAAGAAGUAUUUCGGUAUGUAAAGCCCUAUCGGCAGGGAAGAAAUUGGACGGUACCUGACUAAGAAGCCCUGGCUAACUACGUGCCAGCAGCCGCGGUAAUACGUAGGGGGCAAGCGUUAUCCGGAUUCACUGGGUGUAAAGGGAGCGUAGACGGCCAUGCAAGCCUGGAGUGAAAGCCCGGGGCCCAACCCCGGGACUGCUCUGGGAACUGUGCGGCUGGAGUGCGGGAGGGGCAGGCGGAAUUCCUGGUGUAGCGGUGAAAUGCGUAGAUAUCAGGAGGAACACCGGCGGCGAAGGCGGCCUGCUGGACCGUGACUGACGUUGAGGCUCGAGAGCGUGGGGAGCAAACAGGAUUAGAUACCCCGGUA